rnacentral:rRNA from 1 species
ACGGAUGCCUCGACUCUGGAGUCCGAUGAAGGACGUGGCCAGCUACGAUAAGCCUCGGUGAGCCGCUAGGCAGGCACUAUUAGCCGGGGAUUUCCGAAUGGGGCAACCCAUGGGGGUUAUACCCCCGUAUCCGGCUUCGGCCGGAAGGUCACUCUGCGAACUGAAACAUCUCAGUAGCAGGGGAAGAGAAAUCAACACGAGAUUCCCUGAGUAGUGGCGAGCGAAAGGGGAACAGCCUAAACCAUGAUCGCAAGAUUGUGGGGUUGCAGGACCUCAAUAUCCGACUCCCUUCUCAUAGGCGAACGACCCUGGAACGGGCGGCCAAAGAGGGUGAGAGCCCCGUAGACGAAAUGGGGAGGGGCGGUAGGGGAAUCCUAAGUAGGGUCGGACACGUGUAAUCCGGCCUGAAUCCGGGUGGACCACCAUCCAAGGCUAAAGAGCUCUAGAGAUCGAUAGCGAAUAGUACCGUGAGGGAAAGGUGAAAAGCACCCCGAAAGGGGGAUGAAAUAGUCUCUGAAAUGUGAUGCGUACAAAGAAGUCGGAGCCCCGCGUAAGCGGGGUGACGGCGUGCCUUUUGCAUAAUGAGCCAACGAGUUUGUUGUCAGCGGCAUGGCGAAGGGAGUACAUACCCGAAGCCGCAGCGAAAGCGAGUCCGAAUAGGGCGUUUUAGUCGCUGGCACAAGACCCGAAACCGGGUGAGCUAUCCAUGGGCAGGGUGAAGCCCCGCGAAAGCGGGGUGGAGGCCCGAACCGGUUGGUGUCGCAAGACCAUCGGAUGACCUGUGGAUAGGAGUGAAAAGCUCAUCGAACCCGGAGAUAGCUGGUUCUCCUCGAAAUGCCUUUAGGGGCAGCCUCGUCGUAACCUAUGGGGGGUAGAGAUACUGUUUGGAUGCGGGGGUCUUUCAGGCCUACCAAAUCCAGAUAAACUCCGAAUACCCAUAGUUUUAACCACGACGGGAGUGAGACGGUGACAGCGAACUGCCAUCGUCACAAGGGAAAUAGCCCAGACCAUUCGCUAAGGUCCCCAAAUGUCGUUCAGUGGAAAAGGAGGUGCAGGUGCGUUGACAACCAGGAGGUUGGCUUAGAAGCAGCCAUCCUUUAAAGAAAGCGUAACAGCUCACUGGUCGAUGCCCCUGUGCGCCGAAAAUGUAUCGGGGCGAAACGACAUACCGAAGCGGUGGGUGCGACGAAGCGCGCAAGCGCUUUGCCGCGCGGUAGAGGAGCGUUCCGUCCAGCAGUGAAGCUCCGUUGUGAAGCGGAGUGGAGCGGACGGAAGUGAGAAUGUUGGCAUGAGUAACUACUUGGCAGGUGAGAAUCCUGCCCGCCGAAUCCCCAAGGUUUCCCACGCAACGGUCAUCGGCGUGGGGUUAGUCGGUCCUAAGGCAAGGCCAAACGGCGUAGCCGAUGGACAGCAGGUCAAUAUUCCUGCACUUCAUGGAGAUCGCCAAGGGGUAGUUGUUGAGAGCCCAUCAGGCCUCUGCUCUACACCAUUCUGGAGUUGAAGAGAAUUAUGAAUCUGGUGUCAUUAUUACUUCUUAAUUCUUCUCCGAAUCUAGAAUGGUGUGGAGUACGUCAGGUAGGAAGGAUGCUUCUACUCUAGGAGCGGCAUGACGGAGCGGGACGAUCAGAGCGUGUGUAUGGAAUGCACGUGGAAUGCGUAAGACGUUGAUGUUGGGAGGCAAAUCCCCCAAGAGAGUCGAGCGCACAUCCCAAAUGCCCCGCGCAAGCGGGGUGAGUCUGAACCGUUCUGCUUCCAAGAAAAUCGUCGCGUCCGAGAGCUUCAUGAAACCGUACCGCAAACCAACACUGGUGGGGUGGUCGAGAAGACUAAGGCGAACGGGUCAUCUCGCGUCAAGGAACUCGGCAAAAAAGCGUCCGUAACUUCGGGAUAAGGACUGCCUCGCACGCGCAAGCGCAGCGGGGUCGCAGCGAAAGAGCUCAGGCGACUGUUUACCAAAAACACAGGUCCCUGCGAAGCCGUAAGGCAAUGUAUAGGGGCUGAUGCCUGGCCAGUGUCAGAAGGUUACGGAAGGGGGUUCACGCUCCCGACUUAAGCCCUGAUGAACGCCGGCGAUAACUAUAAUCGUCCUAUGGUAGCGAAAUUCCUUGUCGGGUGGUCGAUAAAAACUUGCCCGAAUGGUCCGGAAGGAUCAGCACUGAGGAAAGAAGUUACCGAACUCUUUUUAUCCAAAGUUAUAACGCAAAUACCGAGAUCCUAUUAAAUGGGGCACAAGUGUGCCCUGCUUGAGAUCGUUGGUCAUCGUCGUCGCACUGACGCCGGUGAGCCAUUCAUACAUAUCAGUGCAAAACGUGGCUAUAUGCUGGAAAAUCCCAUGUAUCCCCUAUAUGCCGCAAGGUACGGGGUGGGGAUCAUCAGCAGGAAAGGAUCCGCAAGGAGAAUCCUCAGAGACUACACGCCACGCAACUUAAAAAGAACCAUCCGCGCCGAAGGCAAGCUCCGCUUGCCUGGAGGCGCACCUUUAAAGGGAAAGGAUGGUUCAUGGAAGGAAAACCGUAGGUUUGCCUUCCAUGAGUUGAUGAUAUAGUCCGAUCCCUCUAGCGAUAGAGGGAUGCCGCAGAACCGCGCGGCUGAUAAAAAACAAGCGUUUCUGUGUCUAUCCCUCGACUACGCUCGGGAUGACACAGGAGGUGCAAGUGCGCCCCGCAGUUAUUGUGGGGUUCUCGGUGGCCCGCCGAGAGGAACAUUCCUGGAGGCACACCUCUUAGGGAAAGGAUGGUCCGCGGAAGGAAAACCGUAGGUUUUCCUCUUCCGCGAGAGCUUUGAAGUUCCGACCCGCACGAAUGGUAUAACGAUCUGAGCACUGUCUCGACGCGAGGCCCGGUGAAAUUUCAGUGACGGUGCAAAUGCCGUCUUGAUCACGGAAGGACGAAAAGACCCUAUGAAGCUUUACUGUACGCUGGCAUUGUGACGUUAGUCUGCGUGCGCAGGAUAGGUGGGAGCCUUUGAAGCCCUGGCUUUGGCCGGGGUGGAGGCAACGUUGAGAUACCACCCUCGUGUUCUGACGUUACUCACGGUGACCCUGAAACAGGGCAUCGAACAGUGCUUGCCGGGCAGUUUAACUGGGGCGGUUGCCUCCUAAAGCGUAACGGAGGCGCGCAAUGGUCGACUAGCGCCGGAUGGAAAUCGGCGUGGUCGUGUAAUCGCAUAUGUCGGCCUGACUGUGAGGCCUACAAGCCGAGCAGAGACGAAAGUCGGCGAUAGUGAUCCGGUGCCCAAGGACACGCUUUACCGUGUGUCCACACCACGUGGGUGGGGCAUCGCUCAACGGAUAAAAGUUACUCUAGGGAUAACAGGCUGAUCGCUCCCAAGCGCCCACAGCGACGGAGCGGUUUGG